CGAAAAAUAACGAUACGGGACUCAUCCGAGGCCCCGUAAUCGGAAUGAGUACACUCUAAACCCUUUAACGAGGAUCAAUUGGAGGGCAAGUCUGGUGCCAGCAGCCGCGGUAAUUCCAGCUCCAAUAGCGUAUAUUAAAGUUGUUGCGGUUAAAAAGCUCGUAGUCGAAUUUGUGUCCCGCGCCGCCGGUUCAUCGCUCGCGGUGUCAACUGGCGUGUCCGCGGGACGUCCUGCCGGUGGGCUUAGCCUCUCGGGGCGGCCCAAUCUCAAUCCCACCGCGGUGCUCUUCACUGAGUGUCGAGGUGGGCCGGCACGUUUACUUUGAACAAAUUAGAGUGCUUAAAGCAGGCUAAAAUUUCGCCUGAAUACUGUGUGCAUGGAAUAAUGGAAUAGGACCUCGGUUCUAUUUUGUUGGUUUUCGGAACCCCGAGGUAAUGAUUAAUAGGAACGGAUGGGGGCAUUCGUAUUGCGACGUUAGAGGUGAAAUUCUUGGAUCGUCGCAAGACGGACAGAAGCGAAAGCAUUUGCCAAAAACGCUUUCAUUGAUCAAGAACGAAAGUUAGAGGUUCGAAGGCGAUCAGAUACCGCCCUAGUUCUAACCAUAAACGAUGCCAGCUAGCGAUCCGCCGACGUUCCUCCGAUGACUCGGCGGGCAGCUUCCGGGAAACCAAAGCUUUUGGGUUCCGGGGGAAGUAUGGUUGCAAAGCUGAAACUUAGAGGAAUUGAC
rnacentral:rRNA from 1 species